rnacentral:rRNA from 1 species
AGAUUGAACGCUGGCGGCAGGCCUAACACAUGCAAGUCGAGCGGCAGCACGGGUACUUGUACCUGGUGGCGAGCGGCGGACGGGUGAGUAAUGCCUAGGAAUCUGCCUGAUAGUGGGGGAUAACGUUCGGAAACGGACGCUAAUACCGCAUACGUCCUACGGGAGAAAGUGGGGGAUCUUCGGACCUCACGCUAUCAGAUGAGCCUAGGUCGGAUUAGCUAGUUGGUAGGGUAAAGCCUACCAAGGCUACGAUCCGUAACUGGUCUGAGAGGAUGAUCAGUCACACUGGAACUGAGACACGGUCCAGACUCCUACGGGAGCAGCAGGUGGGAAUAGUUGGACAAUGGGCGAAAGCCUGAUCCAGCCAUCGCCGCGUGUGAGAAGAGGUCUUCGGAUUGAAACGCUAACGUUUAAGUUGGGAAGGAAGGCUAAGUUAAACCUAAGUACGUUGGUGUUACGUUAGACCGUUAACCGAC